UACGUAGGUGGCAAGCGUUGUCCGGAAUCACUGGGCGUAAAGCGCGCGCAGGCGGCGAUCUACGUCUGGGGUGAAAGCCCGGAGCUCAACUCCGGGACUGCCUUGGAUACGGGAUCGCUUGAACAUCGGAGAGGUAAGUGGAAUUCCGAGUGUAGAGGUGAAAUUCGUAGAUAUUCGGAAGAACACCAGUGGCGAAGGCGACUUACUGGACGAUUGUUGACGCUGAGGUGCGAAAGCGUGGGGAGCAAACAGG
rnacentral:rRNA from 1 species